rnacentral:sRNA from 1 species
ACUGGAUGCAGUGGCUCACACUUGUAGCUCCAGCUACUCAGAGGGCUGAGGUAGAAGGAUCACUUGAGCCCAGGAGUUUGGGGCCAGCCUAGGCAACACAGGGAGAUCCCAGCUCUA